rnacentral:misc_RNA from 1 species
GUAUGACAUAUCAAACACAAAUGUAAAGGAUGAGUUAAGUGGAAGCGCUAAAAAUGAACAGCUAUCUGUGGUUUACGAUAGGCUUGCUUCCGUUAUAUCCAUGGAGAGCAAGAACUCAAGUUUGCAUGGACCUUCAGAAUGAGAUAUGCGAUUCACAAUCGUCCGGUGUUUUUGGAAUGCACAACUUCAUUGCUGUUAUUGCUUGCUACAUGGCUAAGAACCUGAUAACGUUUAAU